UGGCUCAGGACGAACGCUGGCGGCGCGCCUAACACAUGCAAGUCGAACGGACUUAUGGAGCUUGCUCUAUAAGUUAGUGGCGGACGGGUGUGUAACACGUGAGCAACCUGCCUUUCAGAGGGGGACAACAGUUGGAAACGACUGCUAAUACCGCAUAAGACCACGGGAUGGCAUCAUUCUGCGGUCAAAGAUUUAUCGCUGAAAGAUGGGCUCGCGUCCGAUUAGAUAGUUGGUGAGGUAACGGCCCACCAAGUCGACGAUCGGUAGCCGGACUGAGAGGUUGAACGGCCACAUUGGGACUGAGACACGGCCCAGACUCCUACGGGAGGCAGCAGUGGGGGAUAUUGGACAAUGGGGGCAACCCUGAUCCAGCGACGCCGCGUGAGGGAAGAAGGUUUUCGGAUUGUAAACCUCUGUUGACAGGGAAGAAAAUGACGGUACCUGUUUAGAAAGCCACGGCUAACUACGUGCCAGCAGCAGC
rnacentral:rRNA from 1 species